rnacentral:rRNA from 1 species
GACGAACCGUGCGAACGUUGUUCGGAUUCACUGGGCUUAAAGGGCGCGUAGGCGGGCUCGCAAGUCAGGGGUGAAAUCCUCCGGCUCAACCGGAGAACUGCCUUUGAUACUGCGGGCCUAGAGGGAGGUAGGGGUCGACGGAACUUCCGGUGGAGCGGUGAAAUGCGUAGAUAUCGGAAGGAACGCCGGUGGCGAAAGCGGUCGACUGGACCUCUUCUGACGCUGAGGCGCGAAAGCCAGGGGAGCAAACGGG